CAGCAGCGCGGGAAUACGAAGGGGGCUAGCGUUGUUCGGAAUUACUGGGCGUAAAGCGCACGUAGGCGGAUCGAUCAGUCAGGGGUGAAAUCCCAGAGCUCAACUCUGGAACUGCCUUUGAUACUGUCGAUCUAGAGUAUGGAAGAGGUGAGUGGAAUUCCGAGUGUAGAGGUGAAAUUCGUAGAUAUUCGGAGGAACACCAGUGGCGAAGGCGGCUCACUGGUCCAUUACUGACGCUGAGGUGCGAAAGCGUGGGGAGCAAACAGGAUUAGAUACCCCCGUAGUCCCUGUCUCUUAUACA
rnacentral:rRNA from 1 species